GGAGAGGCCAUGGGUCAGGUGCAGAACAUCUGCUUUGUAUGUAGAAGAUCCCGGGUUCAAUUCCCAGCAUCUCCA
rnacentral:tRNA from 1 species